rnacentral:rRNA from 1 species
CAUCCUCCAAGGCUAAAUACUCCUGACUGACCGAUAGUGAACCAGUACCGUGAGGGAAAGGCGAAAAGAACCCCGGCGAGGGGAGUGAAAAAGAACCUGAAACCGUGUACGUACAAGCAGUGGGAGCACAGGUUUACCUGUGUGACUGCGUACCUUUUGUAUAAUGGGUCAGCGACUUAUAUUCUGUAGCAAGGUUAACCGCUUUCGGGUAUAGCGUUCACUCCCCUCGCCCUGGCGGCAGGCCUAUUACGAAGUUUAAAAGUUUAAUUCGGAAGACCAAGGGUUCCUGUCCAACGUUAAUCGGGGCAGGGUGAGUCGACCCCUAAGGCCAAACUUUUAAAUUGAAGAGUUUGAUCAUGGCUCAGAUUGAACGCUGGCGGCAGGCCUGUGUAGGUGUGUGUUCCAGGUAAAUCCGGUUCACUUUAACACUGAGGCGUGAC